CAGUAGCCACGGGAACACGAAGGUCCCGAGCGUUGUCCGGAUUUAUUGGGCGUAAAGCGAGCGCAGGCGGUUAGAUAAGUCUGAAGUUAAAGGCUGUGGCUUAACCAUAGUACGCUUUGGAAACUGUUUAACUUGAGUGCAAGAGGGGAGAGUGGAAUUCCAUGUGUAGCGGUGAAAUGCGUAGAUAUAUGGAGGAACACCGGUGGCGAAAGCGGCUCUCUGGCUUGUAACUGACGCUGAGGCUCGAAAGCGAGGGGAGCAAACAGGAUUAGAUACCCGCGUAGUCCCUGUCUCUUAUACC
rnacentral:rRNA from 1 species